AAAGUCUUUCUUUGUGAUUAUUCAAGAGACACAGGUCAAUGUCUGGAUGGAAUCUUUUGAUGAGGACCUUGCAUGACCCAGUGGAUUUUUGGCUCAGGAACACAAGCUUUGUCAGGAUUUAGUUCACAGCAACAAAAAGGAACAGAAAUUUUGUCCCAUUUUCCAGCACAUACAGUCAGCUCAGUCUCAGUGUAGCCCCUCAGAAUUGUUUGCCCAGCAGAUAGUGACCCUUGUUCACCAUGUUGUGGAGCAUCACUUUCACUCCUCAGGAUGACAUUGUAUGAAUGCUUUACUAAAUACCUAAACCGAGCAGGAUGCAGCUAAAAACAAGAAAAGCCCAGAGAUACACAGGAGGUUAGACAUUUCCCUCAACACAUUCAAAAAGCAUGGCCUGGCUCAUGAUGAAAUGAGAAUUCCCCAGCAACUUGGCUUCAAGGCCAGAGGAAAAUAAAAAGAAGAUCCCAUUGAUCUUCACCUUGAUAUUGAACAUGGUAAAAAACAUAAGGAGAAAGAGCUUAAAAGAGGUAAAUCAAGAGAAUCAGUGGAUUUCCGAGACUCAAGCCACUUAAGGGAAAGAUCAGCUGAGAAAACAGAGAAAACUCAAGGGAUCAAACUGGAAAAGCUGUCAGAACACAGACUGGCCCAGGUCAUCAUCCCCUUCCUCCCAGGCAUCUCACUCUUGCAAAGCAGAAGUGUGCACUGAAGAAACAGAGGAGGGAAAGAAGAGCACCUGGGCUUUGAAAAAUUGAGACUGGGGACCAAAACUUUGUGGGUCCAAGAGAAAGAGGAGCAGCAGAGCUCGAGGGGCCUUCCCAUUUCCAGCCAGGGGGAGUGGCUUGGGAAGAGUCAGUUACUCUGGAAUGACAGUAGCAACAAUGAUUUUCAAAAGAGAAACCAGGACUAGCAGUGGAACCCAGAGUAUACACUCAAAAGCAAGAAGUGUUACUCACACAAUGACUGUGAAGUUGAAGGCAGAGAGAAGUGGGUGAGCCAGAGCCAGGGCCAAGGCUGGGGAGGUUCAUGUUUCAGAAGUCUAGCCCCAGCCCCAGAAGGGCCCAUGACAAGUUCAGUGGGGAGGAAGGGGAGACUGAAGAUAAUGAGAGUGGGACAGAGAA
rnacentral:lncRNA from 1 species